rnacentral:sRNA from 1 species
ACAAAACAAAAAUUAUCAGGCAGAAGCGGGGGACCCACCUUUCGGGCUCACCACCUAGGAGCCCUUGGGGUUAAGUUGCAGGCAACUGUGACCGAGUGACUUCAUACUCGAACCCGACAGCUCACCUCGUUCGGCAAUGGAGGAAAA